rnacentral:rRNA from 1 species
GAUGAACGCUGGCGGCGUGCCUAAUACAUGCAAGUCGAGCGAACGGACGAGGAGCUUGCUUUUCUGAUGUUAGCGGCGGACGGGUGAGUAACACGUGGAUAACCUACCUAUAAGACUGGGAUAACUUCGGGAAACCGGAGCUAAUACCGGAUAAUAUUUUGCACCGCAUGGUUCAAAAGUGAAAGACGGUGUUGCUGUCACUUAUAGAUGGAUCCGCGCUGCAUUAGCUAGUUGGUAAGGUAACGGCUUACCAAGGCAACGAUGCAUAGCCGACGUGAGAGGGUGAUAGCCCACACUGGAACGGAGACGCGGUCCUGACUCCUACGGGAGGCAGCAGUAGGGAAUCUUCCGCAAUGGGCGAAAGCCUGACGGAGCAAGGCGGCGUGAGAGACGAAGGCCUUCGGAUCGUAAAACCCUGUUAUUAGGGAAGAACAGAUGUGUAAGUAACUGUGCAGAGCUUGACGGUACCGAAUCAGAAAGCCACGGCUAACUACGUG